UACGUAGGGGGCAAGCGUUGUCCGGAAUCAUUGGGCGUAAAGCGCGUGUAGGCGGCUGAGUAAGUCUGCUCUGAAAGCCCGGGGCUCAACCCCGGGAGGCGGGUGGAUACUGCUCAGCUCGAGUCCGGAAGAGGAGUGUGGAAUUCCUGGUGUAGCGGUGAAAUGCGCAGAUAUCAGGAGGAACACCAAGUGGCGAAGGCAGCACUCUGGGACGGUACUGACGCUGAGACGCGAAAGCGUGGGGAGCGAACAGG
rnacentral:rRNA from 1 species